AACGAACGCUGGCGGCAGGCUUAACACAUGCAAGUCGAGCGCCGUAGCAAUAACGGGAGCGGCGCACGGGUGAGUAACGCGUGGGAACCUGUCCCGCGGUACGGCACAACCCAGGGAAACUUGGCUAAUACCGUAUACGCACUAUGGUGGAAAGAAUUUCGCCGUGGGAGGGGCCCGCGUAGGAUUAGCUAGUUGGUGAGGUAAUGGCUCACCAAGGCUUUCGAUCCUUAGCUGGUCUGAGAGGAUGAUCAGCCACACUGGGACUGAGACACGGCCCAGACUCCUACGGGAGGCAGCAGUGGGGAAUAUUGGACAAUGGGCGCAAGCCUGAUCCAGCCAUGCCGCGUGAAUGAUGAAGGUCUUAGGAUUGUAAAAUUCUUUCACCGGGGACGAUAAUGACGGUACCCGGAGAAGAAGCCCCGGCU
rnacentral:rRNA from 1 species